rnacentral:rRNA from 1 species
GUUCAUAGUGCCUUCGAUAGGGAUCUCGCAAGGUUCUUUUGGCAGGCGGCCAACGGCUGCCAAAAGUACCACAUGGUAAAAUGGGCGGACAUUUGCAUGCCCAAGGACCAUGGUAGUUUGGGCAUCAUCGCCUCGCACCGUAUGAAUGUGGCGCUCAUGUUAAGAUGGGCCUGGCGCAUCCUACGCGGCGAGGGAGGAUUAUGGCUACAGCUCAUUCAAGCGAAAUACCUGAGGGGAGACCCACUCUUAGCAUGUAACCGGUCGGAAGGAUCCCAAUUCUGGAGAGCCAUUCAAAGCAUCAAGGAGGACAUCCGCCUAGGGGUGUCCUUCUCCUUAGGGAAUGGGAAAGGGAUCCAACUAUGCUUGGAUCCUUGGCUGAAUACUGAACCCCUUCGAGUGUCCUUUCUA